rnacentral:tRNA from 1 species
GCCGUAUUAGCUUAGUUGGUGGAGCGGCGGACUGUUAAUCCGCAGGUCGCAGGUUCGAGUCCUGCAUACGGCGC